rnacentral:rRNA from 1 species
UACGGAGGGUGCAAGCGUUAUCCGGAUUCACUGGGUUUAAAGGGUGCGUAGGUGGGCUAGUAAGUCCGUGGUGAAAUCCCCGAGCUUAACUCGGGAGCUGCCGUGGAUACUAUUAGUCUUGAAUAUCGUGGAGGUAAGCGGAAUAUGUCAUGUAGCGGUGAAAUGCUUAGAUAUGACAUAGAACACCGAUAGCGGAGGCAGCUUACUACGCGAUUAUUGACACUGAGGCACGAAAGCGUGGGGAUCAAACAGG